CGGGGUCCAGGUGCCACAGCUUGUAGGUCUGCAGGCUGACGGCGUGCACCUCGGCCCAGGGGCCGCGGGCCAUGCGGUACUCGAUCUCCUUGCGCACUAUGGGCCCGUCGCCGAUGAUAGAGUUGGUGUUGAGCUGGAUGAUGAGGCGUGGGCGCGCUGACCCUUGACGAUGAGCUCCGCGAAGUUGGAGACGCCCGCACCGCGCGGGGCCUGAGACACGCAGCGGUACAGGUCCUGCUCGGCGCGGCCCACGGCUACCAGCGGGAAAGUGGCCAGGAAGCGCCGGUGGCUGAUGUGCCGCACACCGGCCGCGGGCACCAGCGCCCCGCUCUGCCGCUGCGGAGAAAGGGGGUGGCGGAGUCGGGCGGCCGUCGGGGUCCCGUGCUCGCUCCGGCCCGGGCCAAGGGAGGGGGUCACCGACCUUGCUCCCUGUGGCCGUCCCGCUGUGUAGCACAGGGCUCCCCAGGGACGCGCGGGCCCCGGGGAGGCUGCCCGCCCGCCCUCACCUGCAGGAGGAAGCGCUCGGCCUCGGCCGCUCUGCCCGCCGCCAUGCACUGGAACGACGCGUUCUGGCCAGCGUUGACCUCCACGUCGCCCAGGCGGGAGAAGCUCUGGAAGAUGACGUGGGCCCGCUCGCCCGGGGCAUGCUGGGAAGCAUUGACCAUCAGGACACAGUCCAAGGCCCCACGGUUCCUGAACCACAGCUUUCCCCUGGCUCCAGCUGUCCCCGGCGGCACGGACUUAGCUCAGGAGUCACAUGGCUGGCAUAGACAGCACCCCCCCCCACCAGGCCGCCUCUUCCAAAGGCCUCCCUCCUGGCCCCGGGAUCAUGAACAACGUCACGUCUGUGAGGCACCAGGCUGGGAAGUCUCGGGGCUCUACUCCAUCCCCAAGCAGGCUCUGAACCUACACUGAAUGAAAUGUAGGACAGAGCGUGAAUGAAAGGACAUUCACUUCCAGUCCGUACCCCCCGGGUCUCAUUUCCUGCAAUACAGAUUCGCUAGAUGUCCCAUGUGGAGAAAGGCAGCCCGGCCCCUUCCGCACAGAUCCAGGCCGUGUGCUCUACCACAUGGGUAGAAGCUGACGGGACCCCUCAGGACCUGGCUGGGAAGAAGGCUAGGGAGCUGCCACUGGGGCUCCUCCCACGGCAGCCACUCAGCGCAGCCGCCUCCCAGACCUGGCUGCUGGCCAAUACAAGCUCAUUCAGAUCCCGCCCCAGGAGGGCUCCCCCGGGACUCCACAGAAGGGGCUCCUGCUCAUCUCUGUGAGCCAGGAGGAAGCUGCGGAGGCAGGCGGCUCCUGGGUCCAUCCUGGCCGGGAGGUAAGCACAACUCGCAGCCCAGGACGGGACAAGAUCCAGGUCUCCCUGGGCCAUGUCCUUGAGCACGGGGGUGUGCCCUGCUACUCCUUCCCAUCUCAUGUGCCUCUUGCCUCUCCCGCCCCUCGGCCUCUCUCUGCUGUCACUCCGCACCCCUCCGCCUCCGUCCCAUGCAUUUCUGUCCCUGUCCCACUUGCCACCUGCCCCAGAAUCAGCAGCAGGUACAUUUCUUGCUCCCCUUCCUCACGGGCUGGGUCUCUGAGUGUAAGAGAAAGACAAGCAGUGCCCACCCAGGAUGGUCGGGACUGGAAAAGGUGAAGUCAAAUCCUCUCUCUUGGACGUGAGAGCCCACUGUGUGCCAGGCGCUGAGGAGUGGCGAGGCCCACCCAGGGGCCCUGCCGUGGUGGGUGCCGUGCCACAGCAGAUGCCAGCUCAGCCAUGCUGGGAGCCCUGGGUCACUACGAUGAUAGGGGAAAGGUGAGGGAUCUUUAGGCUGCCCCGUCCUGGGGUUCACUCAGAAAGCCCAUUAGGUUCUCACGCUGUCAUGUCCUCUGACACAGCCCCUAUCAGUAACCUCCGUCUGCCUUAUCCUUUUCCUAAUUCCCAGUCGAUUCUGCACCCAGUGAAGAGGGGUACUAGUUAUUGGGUCUCCUCAUAUACCCCCAAUAGCAGCACCUAAACAGCCAAGCCCCAACACCCCCGCCCCGGGUGCUCUGCACUUUAUAUGUGCUAUCUAGUAACCCUGUAAGUAGGCUGCUGUUCUCCCCAUUUUUGCAGUUAGGAUCAUGGGGGCUCAGAGAAGGGAAGUGACCUCCCCAAGGUCACACAGCCGGUAAAUGUCUUCGAGCCUCUGGAAUGACUUCAUAAGGGCCAAAAUCAGAGUAGGAGGCCCAUACUAGAAUCCAUAAAAUGAGUCUCCUGGCUCGCAGUCCAACGCUCAGGAUGCCCAAAGUACCCCAGCCCAAAGUGGGGGCGCAGCAGGGUAGAAGUCAGGGAGGAUCUGGGACUUGCAGGAAGAUGAGACAGAGGAAGGUUCUGCACACAUCCGGCCCUGAUGUCACUGCUCUGUCAGCAUCUGCCCCAAGACCCACAAGACGGCCUCCCAGGGGAGGACAAAGUAGGGAAACCUGGCAGAGUGGGGCGGAGCCUGAGCUAAGCUGCAAGGGGUUUAACCCUCAGCUGUAAAGGCGUUGAUUACUUGAACCUGCACCCGCUUGACAAGAGACACUGCCUGACAUGCAGGAUCAGACAGCGCCACCGGAACUGCUUCUGCAAGAGAACAGAGCGGGACGGUGCGGUGCGGGAGAGGAGGCUCACCGUGGG